rnacentral:rRNA from 1 species
CCUACGGGUGGCAGCAGUGGGGAAUAUUGCACAAUGGGGGAAACCCUGAUGCAGCAACGCCGCGUGAGUGAGGAAGUAUUUCGGUAUGUAAAGCUCUAUCAGCAGGGAAUAGCAAAGACGGUACCUGAAAAAGAAGCCCCGGCUAACUACGUGCCAGCAGCCGCGGUAAUACGUAGGGGGCAAGCGUUAUCCGGAUUUACUGGGUGUAAAGGGAGCGUAGACGGAGAGGCAAGUCAGAAGUGAAAGCCUCAGGCUCAACCGUGGGACUGCUUUUGAAACUGUCAGACUAGAGUGCGGGAGAGGAGAGAGGAAUUCCUAGUGUAGCGGUGAAAUGCGUAGAUAUUAGGAGGAACACCAGUGGCGAAGGCGUCUUACUGGACCGAAACUGACGUUGAGGCUCGAAAGCGUGGGGAGCAAACAGGAUUAGAUACCCGGGUAGUC